GCCGGGAUGGCGGAAUCGGUAGACGCAGCGGAUUCAAAAUCCGCCGCCGCAAGGCGUGGGGGUUCGAGUCCCCCUCCCGGCA
rnacentral:tRNA from 1 species